rnacentral:rRNA from 1 species
CCCUAUGGGGUGCAGCAGAUACCUGAAGGAAUAGAUAUCGUCCCAGUUAUCAAACACGGCGGGGCCGAACCACCGUAGACACUGGUCGGAACGGUUCACACCGGUGGCGAUGGGCUGCGGGGUUGUAGGGACUGCUGUGCCAUAGCCCGGUUCCAGCGGUUGUGGCGAAGGCUGCGGCAAAGGCCCAGGCUUUCUCAAAGGCAAGUCUUUUCUGAACCUCGGGUUCAAAGGCUUCCCCCGAGGGUUCAGGGGAUUUGGCAGUUUGCGGGGGGGC